CCUACGGGAUGCAGCAGUGGGGAAUAUUGCGCAAUGGGCGAAAGCCUGACGCAGCGACGCCGCGUGAGGGAUGAAGGUCUUCGGAUCGUAAACCUCUGUCAGCAGGGAAGAACGGUCACUGUGCUAAUCAGCAGUGAAUUGACGGUACCUGCAAAGGAAGCACCGGCUAACUCCGUGCCAGCAGCCGCGGUAAUACGGAGGGUGCGAGCGUUAAUCGGAAUUACUGGGCGUAAAGCGCUCGUAGGCGGUAUGUCAAGUCAAGGGGGAAAUCCCCGCGCUCAACGUGGGAACUGCCUUUGAAACUAGCAAACUGGAGUGUGUGAGAGGAUAGUGGAAUUCCAGGUGUAGGAGUGAAAUCCGUAGAUAUCUGGAGGAACAUCAGUGGCGAAGGCGACUAUCUGGCACAUAACUGACGCUGAGGAGCGAAAGCGUGGGUAGCAAACAGGAUUAGAUACCCCUGUAGUC
rnacentral:rRNA from 1 species